GAGUUUGAUCAUGGCUCAGAACGAACGCUGGCGGCAUGCCUAACACAUGCAAGUCGAACGGAUGUAGCAAUACAUUAGUGGCGGACGGGUGAGUAACACGUGGGAACCUUCCCAGAAGUGAGGAAUAACCGAGGGGAACUUCGGCUAAUACCGCAUAUGCCCUGCGGGGCAAAGGCUUCGGCCGCUUCUGGAGGGGCCCGCGUCCGAUUAGCUAGUUGGUGGGGUAACGGCCUACCAAGGCGAUGAUCGGUAGCUGGUCUGAGAGGACGAUCAGCCACACUGGGACUGAGACACGGCCCAGACUCCUACGGGAGGCAGCAGUGGGGAAUAUUGGACAAUGGGGGAAACCCUGAUCCAGCGAUGCCGCGUGAGUGAUGAAGGCCUUAGGGUUGUAAAGCUCUUUCGCCCACGACGAUGAUGACGGUAGUGGGAGAAGAAAGCCCCGGCUAACUUCGUGCCAGCAAGCCGCCGCCGUAAC
rnacentral:rRNA from 1 species